rnacentral:rRNA from 1 species
UGCAAGUCGAGCGGUAACGGGUCCAGCUUGCUGGAUGCCGACGAGCGGCGGACGGGUGAGUAAUGCAUAGGAAUCUGCCCAGUCGUGGGGGAUAACCUGGGGAAACUCAGGCUAAUACCGCAUACGUCCUACGGGAGAAAGCGGGGGCUCUUCGGACCUCGCGCGAUUGGAUGAGCCUAUGUCGGAUUAGCUAGUUGGUGAGGUAACGGCUCACCAAGGCGACGAUCCGUAGCUGGUCUGAGAGGAUGAUCAGCCACACCGGGACUGAGACACGGCCCGGACUCCUACGGGAGGCAGCAGUGGGGAAUAUUGGACAAUGGGCGCAAGCCUGAUCCAGCCAUGCCGCGUGUGUGAAGAAGGCUUUCGGGUUGUAAAGCACUUUCAGUGGGGAAGAAAGCGUGCCGGCCAAUACCCGGUACGGACGACAUCACCCACAGAAGAAGCACCGGCUAACUCCGUGCCAGCAGCCGCGGUAAUACGGAGGGUGCGAGCGUUAAUCGGAAUUACUGGGCGUAAAGCGCGCGUAGGCGGCUAAGUAAGCCGGUUGUGAAAGCCCCGGGCUCAACCUGGGAAUGGCAUCCGGAACUGUUUAGCUAGAGUGCAGGAGAGGAAGGUAGAAUUCCCGGUGUAGCGGUGAAAUGCGUAGAGAUCGGGAGGAAUACCAGUGGCGAAGGCGGCCUUCUGGACUGACACUGACGCUGAGGUGCGAAAGCAUGGGUAGCAAACAGGAUUAGAUACCCUGGUAGUCCAUGCCGUAAACGAUGUCGACUAGCCGUUGGGUCCCUUGAGGACUUAGUGGCGCAGUUAACGCGAUAAGUCGACCGCCUGGGGAGUACGGCCGCAAGGUUAAAACUCAAAUGAAUUGACGGGGGCCCGCACAAGCGGUGGAGCAUGUGGUUUAAUUCGAUGCAACGCGAAGAACCUUACCUACCCUUGACAUCCUGCGAACCCUCCGGAGACGGAGGGGUGCCUUCGGGAYCGCAGAGACAGGUGCUGCAUGGCUGUCGUCAGCUCGUGUUGUGAAAUGUUGGGUUAAGUCCCGUAACGAGCGCAACCCUUGUCCUUAUUUGCCAGCACGUAAAGGUGGGAACUCUAAGGAGACUGCCGGUGACAAACCGGAGGAAGGUGGGGACGACGUCAAGUCAUCAUGGCCCUUACGGGUAGGGCUACACACGUGCUACAAUGGCCGGUACAAAGGGUUGCAAUCCCGCGAGGGGGAGCCAAUCUCAUAAAGCCGGUCUCAGUCCGGAUCGGAGUCUGCAACUCGACUCCGUGAAGUCGGAAUCGCUAGUAAUCGUGCAUCAGAAUGGCACGGUGAAUACGUUCCCGGGCCUUGUACACACCGCCCGUCACACCAUGGGAGUGGACUGCACCAGAAGUGGUUAGCCUAACUUCGGAGGGCGAUCA